rnacentral:rRNA from 2 species
UACGUAGGGUGCGAGCGUUAAUCGGAAUUACUGGGCGUAAAGGGUGCGCAGGCGGUCCCGCAAGUCAGGCGUGAAAUCCCCGGGCUUAACCUGGGAAUGGCACUUGAAACUACGGGACUUGAGUGUGGCAGAGGGAGGUGGAAUUCCACGUGUAGCGGUGAAAUGCGUAGAUAUGUGGAGGAACACCAAUGGCGAAGGCAGCCUCCUGGGUCAACACUGACGCUCAUGCACGAAAGCGUGGGGAGCAAACAGG